rnacentral:rRNA from 1 species
UUACGGCUCAGUAACACGUAGUCAACAUGCCCAGGGGACGUGGAUAACCUCGGGAAACUGAGGAUAAACCACGAUAGGUCAUCACUUCUGGAAUGGGUAAUGACUUAAAUCUAUAUGGCCCCUGGAUUGGACUGCGGCCGAUCAGGCUGUUGGUGAGGUAAUGGCCCACCAAACCUGUAACCGGUACGGGCUCUGAGAGGAGGAGCCCGGAGAUGGGCACUGAGACAAGGGCCCAGGCCCUAUGGGGCGCAGCAGGCGCGAAACCUCUGCAAUAGGCGAAAGCUUGACAGGGUUACUCUGAGUGAUUUCCGUUAAGGAGAUCUUUUGGCACCUCUAAAAAUGGUGCAGAAUAAGGGGUGGGCAAGUCUGGUGUCAGCCGCCGCGGUAAUACCAGCACCCCGAGUGGUCGGGACGUUUAUUGGGCCUAAAGCAUCCGUAGCCGGUUCUACAAGUCUUCCGUUAAAUCCACCUGCUUAACAGAUGGGCUGCGGAAGAUACUAUAGAGCUAGGAGGCGGGAGAGGCAAACGGUACUCAGUGGGUAGGGGUAAAAUCCAUUGAUCUACUGAAGACCACCAGUGGCGAAGGCGGUUUGCCAGAACGCGCUCGACGGUGAGGGAUGAAAGCUGGGGGAGCAAACCGGAUUAGAUACCCGGGUAGUCCCAGCUGUAAACGAUGCAGACUCGGUGAUGGGUUGGCCUCGAGCUAACCCAGUGCCGCAGGGAAGCCGUUAAGUCUGCCGCCUGGGGAGUACGGUCGCAAGACUGAAACUUAAAGGAAUUGGCGGGGG